rnacentral:rRNA from 1 species
UACAGAGGGGGCAAGCGUUGUUCGGAAUUACUGGGCGUAAAGGGCGCGUAGGCGGCUUUCUAAGUCGAACGUGAAAUCCCUGGGCUCAACCCAGGAACUGCGUCCGAUACUGGGAGGCUUGAAUCCGGGAGAGGGAUGCGGAAUUCCAGGUGUAGCGGUGAAAUGCGUAGAUAUCUGGAGGAACACCGGUGGCGAAGGCGGCAUCCUGGACCGGUAUUGACGCUGAGGCGCGAAAGCCAGGGGAGCAAACGGG